ACUUAUUUGAGCCGUCCAUCGCGCUUCAUCUGACGACCUGUAGUUCAUCCGCUUCAUUAAGGGUAAUUUCGUAAUUUCCGUCAGUGAAUGACCUUCGUUCCAAUUUUCUGUUUCCUUUUUUCUUUUUAUCUCUCUUCUUGCGAUUUAUCUCUCCUGCGAUUUUUUUUCUCUACUCCACUCUUAUCAAAUUCUUGAUUUUGUUGUUCGAUUUUCAUUGCUAGUUAUUUUUGGGCAACAGCAAUGCAUUCAAAGAGGGAGUGCAGAAUUGUCUUGGGCGAGGCUUCACGUACCUGGCAGCUUAUUUCACUCACCACGUCAAUAAUGUGGCCUUUCUUUUACCGUUAAGAAGCCUUUGCACGUUUUUCAUACAAAGUGUCUUAGCUUCGGAGGGCACCCAUAGCCCAAAUCCUUCGCCAGAGAUCACAAAUAAGUGAAUAACCCCUGCAUUUUGCACCACUGCUUGAUCAAAGUUUGUGGCAUUGUAUUCUAGCUAUGAUGCCACACUCAAAAAUUAUAUUUUGAGCUGAAGUAAUUAGGGUGGAUUUUAAGUGGCUAAUAUUUUGAGCUAUAAAACUUAUGUAUAAAACCUUUAAGCAGCUUAGUACAUAUACUUUAUAGAUUAUUUUAUUUACUUUUAA